CGGGCGGGCAUUCCUGCCGGCGCCGCCCCCGUGCCCGCGGGCGCGGCCUCUCUUCAGCCCUCAGCGGGAGACCCUCAGCGCAAUAUGGCGGCGGGCCGCGCUCCACCUGCUUCUGCCCCGAACCCUGACCCUGCGGCGGGGAUGGCGAUCGCCAAGUUGGAGAGCGGGUGAGGGAAGAAAGGCCCUUUGGAGUUAAUGUGUGUGGGCGACUCGUGUGCUCGAUCGCCAGUCGCUAAAGGUGCUAUUUUUUUGUUGUUGUUGAUUUUUUUUUUUUCUGAAGCCCAAAAUGAAUUACUUCAAAUAAAAGGCAGGAUGGAUUUUUGUAUUAAAGCACAUUUUCAGCAUUAAAUAAAAGUUUGAGAAUCCACCAAAGCUACUACAAAGUGAGAAGGCUGCUUCAGCCGGCUGUGCUCUUGCAUCAAGAUUGUGCAACCAACCAACCGAUUCGUAGGCACGCAGACACAACGCACUGUGCCUGUGCCCCCUGUUCCUCACCCUUCAUCCCCCGCCAUGCUCCUGCAGAGCUCCCAGCUGCUUUACCUGCAGGAGCUGUGGCCUCCCGCCUGCUGGGGUGUGAGAACAGAUCGUAUUUACGUUGUCAUGGGCAACGGACUAUAGGACACAGGUCUUCCGGUGUGCCGCAAUGGCAUGCAGGUGAGCUCUGAGAUUAGGGAAACGUGCAGAUCCAAGCUGCUGUCUUCAAUGUCCUUAUUUCAAGAAAAGGAACUGGAAGCUUCAAAACAAGGCUGCACCCACAAUUGUUCCUUGAGAUUACAUGACGCUCUCCUUGACCAUGAUGGAGCUGUACAGGGACAUACUAGAUGAACACAGUUUAAACAUGCAUGUGAUCAAGCAAGGAAAAUCUAAAAUAAUUGUCUCUGUAACUGAAAUCCACCGUGAAUUAUUGAUUUUAUUAGUGAAAAUAAAUAGUAAAAAAAGCAAUAAGAAUUUGCUCAAACUGUUGAAUGAGAACAAUCACAUCACAAAGCAUUGUUUAAAAAUGUAUUAAGUGACAAUAGAUGUUCACAAUGUACUGGAUUUGUAAAGAUUAUUCUACACAUGUAAAUCCAGCCGUGUUUGUCCAAGACUUGAAGCAAAUGGAAACUAGGGGCAACACAGCUUUUACGUCUCAAAAUGAAAUAAUGAUCUUAAUGCAUACGAUAAGAAAGGAAAGAGGAAGGGAGUUCCCCUGUACAGGUAAUCUUUAUUUUACCUUCAUAUCUUCCUUUGUGCUAUUUUAUUUGGAGUCUGAUUAGAAGCAGAGCUCAGUGCCAUGUAUUUCAAAUAACCCCCUGCAAGACUGAAUUAUUUCUACAGGGACCAGAUCUUCUUUUUUUUUUAAGCAUCAAACUAGAGAUGUAAAAAGACAGUGUUGACAAAAAGAGCGGGUCAAAUAAUGCUGACCAACUUAGUUCAUGUGCUUCACAAAUGGAACGCAGAUGUGUGCCUACAGCAGGCAUGAGUAGUAAAGGGAGGUGAAGGCAAAAAAGUCUCCACUGGAUGAUAGAGAGAAAAAAUCUACAUCACUGACAUUUCUAUUGCUCUCACUGUAAGGAUGAUGCUGUAGGAAUUCAAAAAUAAAGUAACAAGCUAUUUCAACUAGUGUCAAAAUUCAGAAUUUCAGGGCUAAAAUAAGCACACAAAAUAAAAUGUACAAUUAAUGGA